CCUACGGGGGGCACCAGUGGGGAAUAUUGGACAAUGGGGGCAACCCUGAUCCAGCCAUGCCGCGUGUGUGAAGAAGGCCCUCGGGUUGUAAAGCACUUUCAGUGAGGAAGAACGCCUGGUGGUUAAUACCCAUCAGGAAAGACAUCACUCACAGAAGAAGCACCGGCUAACUCCGUGCCAGCAGCCGCGGUAAUACGGAGGGUGCGAGCGUUAAUCGGAAUUACUGGGCGUAAAGCGCGCGUAGGUGGCUUGAUAAGCCGGUUGUGAAAGCCCCGGGCUCAACCUGGGAACGGCAUCCGGAACUGUCAAGCUAGAGUGCAGGAGAGGAAGGUAGAAUUCCCGGUGUAGCGGUGAAAUGCGUAGAGAUCGGGAGGAAUACCAGUGGCGAAGGCGGCCUUCUGGACUGACACUGACACUGAGGUGCGAAAGCGUGGGUAGCAAACAGGAUUAGAUACCCUGGUAGUC
rnacentral:rRNA from 1 species